GCCCGCUCCAUAAUUGAGAAUGAAAGAGGGACUCAGCUUCACAAAAUGCACGUGACAGACGUUUAACACAUUUUCCACAUGUUUCCAAACUAAGUCCAAAGUUCAUCUCUCAUCUCUCCUCCUCUACGGCGGCGGUGGGGCAUCAGACAUCAAAAUUGCAUAUGCAAAUACACUCCAAUUUCCAUGCUCUAACUACAUCUCACAUCAAUUUUCUCUGAAUCCUCCUAAAUUUUCCAAAUCGAGUAAGAAAACUCAAGAACCCUAGCCACGAGAAUUAAAAUUAAAUGAUUGAAUGGAGGAAUCAAAGUCCCUAAAGUUAGGGCUUUGAUUCCUAGGCCCUUAUGCUACAUGGUGGUAAUAAGAAUGAAGCCAAACGGCGAAGAAACGCCACUUACCUUCCGGAGAUGAAGGCCCGAGAUUAGAGAAAAUAAAGAUGUUUGAACAGGAUUCAGACAAGAUUCUUCACUCUACACGUCUUCUGCUUUAAUCUUUUUCUUUCUUCUUCUGGUCUUCGAAACUUCUUCUUCUCCUUCGUGUUCUGAUAAUGAAUGGAUGGAACUAUGGAAAGUGAUUGAGGUGUGCGUAGAUGUGCGUGAUUGAGAGAAGUCAAGGUUGAAUUGAGUUCAAAGGAAAAUCCAAGGUGUAAAAUAAAAUUGCAGGGUGAUGAACUAUUUAUAAGAGAAUGAAGUUAACUGAAUCAUGAACUAUGUUAAAUGCUCAAUGUAGAAAGUUAUUUAGAGGUUCUAACUCUAUUAAACCUUGAGGUGCAUGAUUUCAGUUAGGGAUUGAAUUUUCUGUUAGGCAGGAAUUUCAGUUAGUUCAAAGUGUUUUUCUGUUAGUUCAGAUGUUAGUUAGGUUAGUUAGUAAAUCAAAUGGUAACUGGCUAUUACAGGUUUGGAGUUAUGUAACAUGGUGUGUUGAUGACUUGUUGACCAUGUUGUAGUUAUGUUCAGUUGCACAUUGCAGGUUUUGCAGAUUAUGGUUAAUGCAAGUAACUGGCUGAUGAUGAUGACAUGUUGCAGGUUGCUUUUGUCUGGAAAUUGCAAGGUGUUGUUGUUAGCACUUAUGUAAUAAUUCAACAGGCUGCAUCCAGUUUUGGUGCAAGGCAUGGCUUGUUUGGAAACUGAAAGUUGCAGGGAUGUUGGCUUGUGGACUAUUACCUCAAGGCAAGGCAAGGCAAAAGGCAUGACACUUAAACAUUCAAGGCAUGACGAAACUUGAUGCAAAAAGUGGCUUUCUUGUUCAUGAAGCAAAUGAUCAUGGAAUCUCAUGGAAAGGCAAGAAUGAAGAUACAAUGAGCAUUAGGGUUUAGGUCAUGAAAAAAUAUGUUAGUUGACUUUGGUCAAUUGGUUGAUAAAAAAUUCAACAGUUGACCAAAAGUCAACUUUUGCAAAACUUGUAUUUUUUGUAUUUUCUUUUGUAUGGACAAUGUAGAUAGCAAAUGUAUGAUGAAUAAACCUUUACUUUGAAUGGAAAUGAUCUUUAUGAUUGAAUGAAAACAUAUUUUACUUCAAA